UACACAAUAAUAAAAAAUAUGCAUUUACCAUUCAACCACGCCGAAAAAUGCAUAAAAACGUGCAAAAGUGCUCUUACCCGAAAAACACACUCGCGGUUCUAUAACCGAACAACAACAACGAAACGCGUUGAUAGCGAGUACUCGCACUAAACGGAAUUCCGCAAUAAAUCGUACCAACAAUUUCCAAACAAUCGAACCAGGCAACGGUGCCUAUGCUAACGCAUAAACAAAUACCGCACAAAAGAGCUGUUAUGAAUAACACACAGGUAGCCCAUUCGCGAACACAUGUAAAUAGCAGAGGUAACACAUAACUAACAUAUUCGGCAACACAUGCAUUUGUUGCAUCUAACAGACUGUUAACAGAUUCGGUAACCAAUAUAUGCCAUACUGCUAACCGAAAUAAAACCAAUAGGAUACACAUAGAAGACGUAUCAUAGAGAGAGACAAUCUUCCAUAAUUGUAAUUGGAUAGAGCGGGAAAGGCAUUGAACAUCCAAGGAGCAAUAGGUUACUUUUUUCCCACUCGUUGAACAAAAGUAACAAAUUUUUUAACUUAUACACGUGUGAACAAUAACAAGUAGUUAACACUUUUGCUAACAGAUUCUCGUCUUACAGAGUGGUGUCUAAAUCAGCUGUGAUAAUGUGAUAAAUUUCCCUACUGACAAGCAGAUGGCGCGAAAUCAGAGUCGCACAGGAAAAUUUCGAGUAGUUUCAAAUCUCUUCGGUGUCAGGUUUAACAAGUGUUAUUUUCAUAUAGCAAAAUCUUGCUAAAUCUAGUUGAAUAGUGAGAUAAUCUACUCAACAUCUUAAAUCUUCCGAUUAAGUGCCGUUAGGAAAAUGGUAUUACCUUUUUCAUUCAGAAAUCGCUUUCGAUUUUUAUUUGAAAUUAAGUAAAAAAAAUUAUAUAUACGAUUAGGGACAACUUUCGUAUAUGCGAAAUUUUUCCAUGUGCAAUUUACGAUAGUAAAAAAACAAAUUCACAGGAAGUUAGAAAUAAGGCUGGUUAAUGAAAUUCAGAAAAAAUCUAUUCCUGAUAAUAAUGUGUCUUUGUAUUUGCCCCUAUAUAAGGAUUUCUAAACUCCCAUAUGGCUUUCGUCAUUCUAUCAUAUAUAUAUGACGGUCAGUGUGUGAGUUAUAUUCGUAAAAUUGUGUGGAAUCAUGUUAUUGAGUGAUAUCAGAAGUUAAUGCAUCAAUAACUUUAAUAUUCAAUAACCCAUCGAUUCGAUUUUUGAUUAUUCCAAAAAAUGGAUUAAAAGAUUUGUAUAAAAUUUUGUGUGAAAUACAAAAUUAAGUGGUUCCGAAUUUUGACUGUAGUACAUGGUGAAGUUACCUUGAACAAAAGCAACAUUUAUCGGUGGUACAAAAUGUUCUCAGAGGGUCGAAGAGAUGUGAAAGACGAAAUCGCCGAAUCACAAUUAGAAUAUAUGAAGAAUAUUACCGGGACGUUAUGUGAAAUUUGUGAAAACAAUCCGUCAGAAACGCCCGGAUUUGUGAAAGAACAAAAAUUGGCUUUUGCAUCAUGAUUUACGAAUUUUCGGCUGGUUUUGAACUCUAUACGUAGCGGUUUUCCGACCAUGUACCUGACUUUAAAGUGUUUAUGUUGGUCAAAAUGUGUGAUAUUUUUUUGAAAUGAAGUAGUUUUGUCUUCUUAAAUAUAAUUUGGUUUAGCGCUGAAUAUGAAAUCAUACCGUUUAACCUCAUACCUCACAAAUCAUCAUUUACCUAAUAUAAAUUAAAUUUAUAUAAUAUAUAUUGUAUAUUUGUUUGAAAUAUGGUGAUUAUACUAUGUGAGUUAAUGAUCUACAAAUAUAAGAUAAUAACAGCAAAUUGGAUUGUAAUUCACUGACAGUUUAGUAGUGUUGGGAACUAUCGAAUGAUUUCAACUAUCGAUAGUUAAUAACUGAAUGAUUUUGACUAUCGAAUUAAUUAUUUGAAUUAUUAAUUUAUUUAUUCAAAUUUAAUAACAAAGGCCAAGUCGUGCUCCUCAAACAACAAUUCAAACUCCCAUGAUGGAUAAAGGGAUAAAAAGGGCGAUUGUAUACUUAAUUACGCAGAUUGCUGCCAGAAAUAAGAAGUUGGCAGAUAUGAAUAGAUCUAUUUCUAUGUUCCUCGUCUGCAUCCUUUGGAAGCGGCAAUUCUUCCUGGGAAUCUAAUCCAAUCAGGGAAGAGCUAUAAAACGAUGAUACAUAAUCUUCUUCGUGAACUGUAAUAAGUUUCCAAAUUAAAUCUUUUAUAGCUGCCAAGAAUACAAUUUAUUUUCCUAUAGUACUCCCAAGUCGAUGGGCUGCCACCAGAGGGACCCACUUGUUUUUUUUUAAUAAUUGUGAUUAGGUUAUUUUUUUGAAACCUUUUAUAUGUAUAAAUACAUAUACAUAUUAAAUAAACUGACCUGUAUUUAUUGGUCAAAUUGUGUA